GGCCCCUUCGUCUAGAUGAUCAGGACAUCACCCUUUCACGGUGGAAACACGGGUUUGAUCCCCGUAGGGGUCA
rnacentral:tRNA from 1 species